GCGGGUGUAGCUCAGUGGUAGAGCGUCAGCUUCCCAAGCUGAAUGUCGCCGGUUCGAUCCCGGUCACCCGCUCCA
rnacentral:tRNA from 1 species